rnacentral:rRNA from 1 species
GACGAACGCUGGCGGCGUGCUUAACACAUGCAAGUCGAACGGAAAGGCCCUGCUUUUGUGGGGUGCUCGAGUGGCGAACGGGUGAGUAACACGUGAGUAACCUGCCCUUGACUUUGGGAUAACUUCAGGAAACUGGGGCUAAUACCGGAUAGGAGCUCCUGCUGCAUGGUGGGGGUUGGAAAGUUUCGGCGGUUGGGGAUGGACUCGCGGCUUAUCAGCUUGUUGGUGGGGUAGUGGCUUACCAAGGCUUUGACGGGUAGCCGGCCUGAGAGGGUGACCGGCCACCUUGGGACUGCGAUACGGCCCAGACUGCUACGGGAGGCAGCAGGGGGGAGUAUUGCACAAUGGGCGGAAGCCUGAUGCAGAAACGCCGCGUGCGGGAUGACGGCCUUCGGGUUGUAAACCGCUUUCGACUGUGACGAAGAGUGAGUGACGGUAAUGGGUAAAGAAGCACCGGCUAACUACGUG